GAGAAAAGGGGAAGAGGGAAGAGGGCACAUUUGUGGUGCUUAGCUUAACCACAUCAUCAGAAUCAAGACAUACAUUCAAAACAACGCUGUGUUCAUCUCUACCUCACGUGUGCACACACGCUCACAAGACUAGUGUCUUAACUGGAAGAGAGUUAUGACAAGGGAACUUUCAAAAGGCUUCUGCUUUUAUUUGUAUUUCCGGAGCUUUUCUCUUUCAGUAGGUAUAAGAGGCACUGCUGAGAAGCAGAUCAUUUGUCAGCGAGCCCUUUAAUUUAGGCAGUGUUUACCUGAUGCACACGUUACACGAAGACAGAGCCCGUGUCCGCUGUCUGAGCUCAGAGCUGAGAAAGGCGAGGUGCUGAAAAGGUGUGAUGCAAAAGGCUGUACCCGUGCUAAGGGGACAGCCUCUGAUCAAAGCCGCAUCCCGGUACUGAGCUGGGACAGUGCUUCUCGCUUGAUGCCAGGUCAGGUUGUUGGAAGCUUUCUGCUUCUCCUCCUGCCUCUGGUUCUGCCCCCAGAGACCUCCUAUGAACCGCAGGAAACCCAGAAGAGAGCAGAGCCAAACUGGCCCCUCCCUGGGGAUCAAAAGUUAAGUGCCAUCUCCUGCUCUCCGGAGACCUGCCUGUCAAGCUCUGGAAGUGAGUUUGAAGACCAAAGGAGCCUUGCCCCAGAGGCCUUUGCCCUUCACUGUAAAUUCUUAGCCCUCAUGUCCUGUGUCUGUGGUUCAACAAAUAUUUCAGUUCAAGCUGCUGAUACAGGAGCAGAUCCCUUGCUCCUUAUGUGGUCAGAGCCAAAAGAUUCUUGAAAGAGAAAAUAAAUCAGGUUGUUCCCAGAGCUCACCCUUGAUUAGCUGCAAAUGUAACUAAUUAGUUCAUGAGUCAGUCUCAGGCAAAGGUGAGAGCCCUUGAAUUUGGAUCUGAAGUGUCCUCACAAACAAGGGGAGUGGGCACAUUGCCCACUGUGAAGCUCCCCCUGAACCUCGAGCUUCCUGUCAUUCCAUCAGUCACAGAUGACUCGAGUUACAGUCAACAAAAGGUUGCAAGAAAACUGAGUCAAGAGUUCAGCAGAGGAGUUACAAAAAGACUAAGGCUGUCAAUAAAAUCUUAU